CCAUAUGAGUUGGUUGUCCUCUUAACCAAAGAGUAUGGAGACACUGUUAUGAUGUGUAGAUAAAAUGUAAGAGUAUAUUCACAUCGAACGUGAUCAUGUGUCGGACACUCUGCUGUCAAGAAUAGCUAGAGAAGGAUAUGGGUAUAAGUAUCUCUCAGACCUGAGACUACCACGGUGACUUGUAAGUAACUCACUAUAUUUUAGUACCAAACCAUCUGAGUUUCUAAUUCAAUGAUGGAAGGAUACUAGGUGCAGUCAAGUACUUAACAAGUCGGCGUG
rnacentral:lncRNA from 1 species